rnacentral:lncRNA from 1 species
UAAAAGAAAAAAAACAAACAAACCAAAACCCUCUCUCUAUUCUGGCUCGAAGGCCCAGUCUUUCCCCUCCCCUCUUUCUUCCCCCGGCCCACUUCCUCCGCCCGAGCCCAGCGCGCUGCGCGGCCCAGCGGCCAGCUCUCUGCGCGUCGAUCUCCCCCUCUCACUGGCACGCUGGCCCCGCCAUCUGUGUCACUGCCACUCUGGGCCCGCUUAGCGGCGACCCUUCUCUUCUUCCUCCUGGCGUCGGGUUUGACUGGGACUUUCCCAGAGGAAACCGAUCCCGAGUACUCGGGAUUUCCCUCGCCCUUGCCAAUCCGAGCACCUAUAAGAACCCCCUGACACCACCGCGUCCACCCUUUUUCUCUCUAUGCACCAAGAAGUUGUCUACCCCUACCUCGGUCUCGCGUUUGGAUCUUGCCGUGAGCGGAGAACGCCGCCGCCGUGGAACUUUCUGUCCAUGGCCGUGUCAACAAAAUUGAUACUGUACCGAGCUUCAGACAAAGGUGACAAACAUGCCGAGCCCUUCCUUUUACUCUCUAGCGUGAUCUUUUGCUCUUAAAUCUCGCCGAACCUUCUGCAAGAGCACCGAGCCGCCAUCCCGCGUGGGUUGCCCAACUUCGAGCUUUUCCCGGACACGUUUAGGCCCC